GGAAUAUUUAAUGAGGGUCUGCAGCAGGGACGUGCACACAUAGGAGUGAAAGGGGGCUGGAGCCCCUGCCCUUUUCCUCACCUGCCCCUCUAGUGCCCUCACAAAAGGAGGUGCAGACUCAGGCUGACAAGUGAAGUAAAAAGGAUCCAUUGCUGGAGAUUUGUAUGUGGUUUAAUGGAGGGUGCUGUGCCCUCCCUGCAGCAAGGGGGCGCCACUCACCCUGUCAUUAUCUGCCAUUUCUUUGCUUCUCUCCACACGGAGGAGACAGGAGCAGAGGAGGCAGAGGGAGGCCCCGCCCACAACAUGUCCGGCCACAAACCAGUCUAAGCAGCCCUUACUAGGAUCAGAAUGCGUUGGCAUAGUGAGGAGACGUCUGGGCAUCAAGUUCUGCAGAGAGAAGAUUUAGCUGGAACAAAUCCUGGCGCCAAUCAGAGAGCAGCACUACUGAAAUAGAACUCCCAGGAGUGAGGGGCCGGUGCUGGACACUGUGUAGGGACGCGGGAAUGCAAAGUCAUACACAUGACUGUGACUGAUGCAGUAUUUCCAGGACAUGGAGUAGCAUUUCCGGACCUACAGCAAGACGUUGGAUGAAGGCAUAGCCCCAGAAAUAACACUGGUCCUGUUCAUCAGUGAGGGGCCGGUGCUGGACACUGUGUAGGGACACGGGAAUGCAAAGUCAUGCACAUGACUGUGACUGAUGCACUAUUUCCAGGACAUGGAGUAGCAUUUCGGGACCUACAGCAAGACGUUGGAUGAAGGCACAGGCCUAGGAAUCAUGCACAUACACAGAAACAUUUGCCCAAAUUAUAGAGGUAACCUCCUUUAGUAUGCCCAGAGGAAGGGCCAUACAGUAGCCAUGGAUUCCCUACAGGUUUCCUCCCCUCUGGAGGUUUUUCCUGUCCUGAGUAUUAGUUACUGUACGCUCUUUGUGAGUGAUGGGAGGUUACAAAAAAUCCCCUACACAAACAUUUUAAUAAAUAAUAAAUAAAGUUCCCCUUUUUUUAAACUGUU